rnacentral:lncRNA from 1 species
UAUUUUGGCUGAUAGCUAUUUCAAGAACUAAUCCAUGAGUUUAUUCUGGAGGGCUAUGGCUUUUUUUCUUCUGCACUGGAGUGCUCCUACUUGAACUGCAUCAUCACAUCCCCAAAAGAGGAGUUGGAAUUUUUCUUCACAUUUGAUUCUGGGAAGAACAAGAGAGCCUGGGAGCAGUUAUUAGAAUUGAGAUGGGUGCUUUUGCAACACCAGUUAUAAGGUCUUUUUCCUUUGACAACAGAGUUUGAUCGCUAAAGCAGGUAUUCGAUUAGCCCUUGAAGUUGGAAUUCUACCCCUUGAAGUAGAGCCUGAUAGUAUGAAGGCUGGUAGCUUGGUAACCUCU